rnacentral:rRNA from 1 species
AGUGAACGCUGGCGGUAGGCCUAACACAUGCAAGUCGAACGGCAGCACAGUAAGAGCUUGCUCUUACGGGUGGCGAGUGGCGGACGGGUGAGGUAUACAUCGGAAUCUACUUUUUCGUGGGGGAUAACGUAGGGAAACUUACGCUAAUACCGCAUACGACCUACGGGUGAAAGCAGGGGAUCUUCGGACCUUGCGCGAUUGAAUGAGCCGAUGUCGGAUUAGCUAGUUGGCGUGGUAAAGGCCCGCCAAGGCGACGAUCCGUAGCUGGUCUGAGAGGAUGAUCAGCCACACUGGAACUGAGACACGGUCCAGACUCCUACGGGAGGCAGCAGUGGGGAAUAUUGGACAAUGGGCGCAAGCCUGAUCCAGCCAUACCGCGUGGGUGAAGAAGGCCUUCGGGUUGUAAAGCCCUUUUGUUGGGAAAGAAAAGCAGCAGGUUAAUACCCCGCUGUUCUGACGGUACCCAAAGAAUAAGCACCGGCUAACUUCGUG